rnacentral:rRNA from 1 species
ACUCAAAUGAAUUGACGGGGGCCCGCACAAGCGGUGGAGUAUGUGGUUUAAUUCGAAGCAACGCGAAGAACCUUACCAGCCCUUGACAUCCUAGGACGGCUUCCAGAGAUGGAUUCCUUCUAGCAAUAGACCUAGAGACAGAUGCUGCAUGGCUGUCGUCAGCUCGUGUCGUGAGAUGUUGGGUUAAGUCCCGCAACGAGCGCAACCCUCGCCUUUAGUUGCCAGCGGUUCGGCCGGGCACUCUAGAGGGACUGCCGGUGAUAAGCCGGAGGAAGGUGGGGAUGACGUCAAGUCCUCAUGGCUCUUACGGGCUGGGCUACACACGUACUACAAUGGCGGUGACAGAGGGCAAAUCCCUAAAAGCCGUCUCAGUUCGGAUUGUGCUCUGCAACUCGAGUGCAUGAAGGUGGAAUCGCUAGUAAUCGCGGAUCAGCACGCCGCGGUGAAUACGUUCCCGGGCCUUGUACACACCGCCCGU